AGGCUCUGUGCACUCAGAGCCAGAAAUCCUGCCUAGAGGAAUUCCCAGCUCUGCUGAUGUGAGCACACUUGGAAGAGCAGAGGAAAAUACCAGGUUUUUCCAAGCCAACUCAAGUGGGCUGAAGUCAGGAUGGUUUUGGAAUCAGACUUUUGAUGAGCACAUAAGAGGGGACAGACUUCCUGAGUGCUCCCAGUACCUGGAUCAUGCUGGGAAGGAGGUGCCACCCUGUUCCUGUUCAUCGCUGAGCCUCGCAUGUCAUGCUGGAUCGGGAUGGGAGCCGGUCCUUGAGGUGGGGGGAGGAUGGAUUGUCU